UAGCUCAGUGGUUAGAGUGUCAGCCUGAGGCCCAGAGAGUCCCAGGUUCGAUUCCUGG
rnacentral:tRNA from 1 species